GAUGAAGAACGUAGCGAAAUGCGAUAAGUAAUGUGAAUUGCAGAAUUCAGUGAAUCAUCGAAUCUUUGAACGCACAUUGCGCCCCUUGGUAUUCCGAGGGGCAUGCCUGUUCGAGCGUCAUUACACCACUCAAGCUAUGCUUGGUAUUGGGCGUCGUCCUUAGUUGGGCGCGCCUUAAAGACCUCGGCGAGGCCACUCCGGCUUUAGGCGUAGUAGAAUUUAUUCGAACGUCUGUCAAAGGAGAGGAACUCUGCCGACUGAAACCUUUAUUUUUCUAGGUUGACCUCGGAUCAGGUAGGGAUACCUGCUGAACUUAAGCAUAUCAAUAAGCGGAGGA
rnacentral:misc_RNA from 1 species